rnacentral:tRNA from 1 species
GCAUUAGUGGUUCAGUGGUAGAAUUCUUGGCAUCCAUGCAGGAGACCCAGGUUCAAAUCCCAGCAAACGCA